rnacentral:tRNA from 1 species
GGGGGUACAGCUCAGUGGUAGAGCACAUUCUUCACAUGCACAAGGCCCUGGGUUCAAUCCCCAGCACUGCCA